rnacentral:rRNA from 1 species
GACGAACGCUGGCGGCGUGCUUAACACAUGCAAGUCGAACGGUGAAGCGCCUUCCUUUUUGGUGGGUGUGGAUGAGUGGCGAACGGGUGAGUAACACGUGAGUAACCUGCCCCCUUCUUCUGGAUAACCGCAUGAAAGUGUGGCUAAUACGGGAUAUUUUGGGUCUGUUGCAUGAUGGGUCUGGGAAAGCUUUUGUUUCGGUGGGGGAUGGGCUCGCGGCCUAUCAGCUUGUUGGUGGGGUGAUGGCCUACCAAGGCGGUGACGGGUAGCCGGCCUGAGAGGGUGGACGGUCACACUGGGGCGACGACACGGCGCAGACUCCGACAGGAGGCAGCAGUGAAGAAUAUGGCACAAUGGGCGCAAGCCUGGUGCAGCGACGCCGCGUGAGGGAUGGAGGCCUGCGGGUAGUGAACCUCUUUCGCCAGAGAAGCAGGCCGGCCUCGUUUGUGGGUGGGUUGACGGUAGCUAGAUAAGAAGCGCCGGCUAACUACGUG